GAUGAACGCUGGCGGCGUGCCUAAUACAUGCAAGUCGAGCGAACGGAUGAGAAGUUUGCGUCUCUGAUGUUAGCGGCGGACGGGAGAGUAACACGUGGUUAACCUACCUAUAAGACUGGGAUAAUUUCGGGAAACCGGGUCUAAGACCGGAAAAUAUAUUGAACUUGAUGGUUCAAAAGUUAAAGUCGGUCUUUGGUUGAGUUAUAGAUUACUCAGGCCUGGAUUCAUUAGUUGGUAAGGUAACUGCUUAACAACGCAACGAUGGAUAGCCGACCUGAGAGGGUGGUCCGACAGAUUGGAAGUGAGGAAGAGCACAGACUCCUACGGGGGGCAGCAGUAGAGAAUCUUCCGCGAGGGGGGAAUGCGGAACGGAGCAAAGCGGGGUGAAGGAUGAAGGUCUACGGAUCGUAAAGCUAUGAUGGUAGGAGAGAACAUAUGUGUAAGUAACUGUGCACAUCUUGACAGUACCUGAUCAAAAAGCCCCGGCUAACUCCGUG
rnacentral:rRNA from 1 species